UGUCGGAGUGCUUAUUUUCCACGAAAGCUUGAAGUGGAAAAGGCUGAGACCGUUAAUUCGGGAUCCGCGGAACCUGAUCAGGUUAAAACCUGCGAAGGGAACAAGAGUAAU
rnacentral:ncRNA from 2 species